UAUGGACGGGAAUAACCUCGGGAAACUGAGAAUAAUGCCCGAUAGAACAUUAUGCCUGGAACGGUUUAUGUUUCAAAUGAUUUAUCGCCGUAGGAUGGGACUGCGGCCUAUCAGUUUGUUGGUGAGGUAAUGGCCCACCAAGACUAUUACAGGUACGGGCUCUGAGAGGAGUAGCCCGGAGAUGGGUACUGAGACACGGACCCAGGCCCUAUGGGGCGCAGCAGGCGAGAAAACUUUGCAAUGUGCGAAAGCACGACAAGGUUAAUCCGAGUGGUUUCUGCUAAAGAAACCUUUUGCUAGUCCUAGAAACACUAGUGAAUAAGGGGUGGGCAAGUUCUGGUGUCAGCCGCCGCGGUAAAACCAGCACCUCAAGUGGUCAGGAUGAUUAUUGGGCCUAAAGCAUCCGUAGCUCGUUUUGUAAGUUUUCGGUUAAAUCCAUACGCUCAACGUAUGGGCUGCCGGGAAUACUGCAUAACUAGGAAGUGGGAGAGGUAGACGGUACUCGGUAGGAAGGGGUAAAAUCCUUUGAUCUAUUGAUGACCACCUGUGGCGAAGGCGGUCUACCAGAACACGUUCGACGGUGAGGGAUGAAAGCUGGGGGAGCAAACCGGAUUAGAUACCCGGGUAGUCCCAGCUGUAAACUAUGCAAACUCAGUGAUGCAUUGGCUUGUGGCCAAUGCAGUGCUGCAGGGAAGCCGUUAAGUUUGCCGCCUGGGAAGUACGUACGCAAGUAUGAAACUUAAAGGAAUUG
rnacentral:rRNA from 1 species